rnacentral:lncRNA from 1 species
GGGAUGGGGGGGGACCCCAGGCUCUGCCGCCAACACCCCCCCCGUGUCGCUGCCCCCCAGACCGCUCGGGAUACCCUGAGCCAAGCCGCCAAGCUCCUGGGCUGGAAGGAGCUGCAACGCCUGGCCAAGAAGGCGGACAGCAUCAAGAUUGCCAACUGCGUGCUUCAGAAGGCAGGCAGCGCCCUGGAGCCGUACCUGGAGCAGUGCGUGCAGCACCUGCGCAGCCCCCAGGUGCAGAUGCGAGAGGCGGCCGUGCGCUUCCUGGGGCUCCUGGCUCAGCGGCUCCACAGUGAGAACCCGGAGCGGAUGCCGGACAUCCGCAGAGCCCUGAAGAGCGCCCAGGAGGACAGCGAGCCGGCCGUGCGCUGCCUGGCGCAGCAAACGCGGCUCAUCCUCAGAAAACUGAAAGGCACGGCGCCCACCAGGCCCGGGGCGCUGCGCUGCUGGCUGCAGAGGAUGUGUGGCAACUAGAGCCGUGCAGACAGGGCACGCUCCGUGUUUCUUGCAGGGUUCCACGUACAGCCAAAAUAAAGGGGAUGUUGUGUUGGAGCUGCUCCGUGGU